UUGCAGUACUGAAGAGGAUUUUUCGUGGCUUCAUUGAGAAGAGGUGUGCAGUUUAAUUGUCAGUAGCAAAGAAAGAUCUCAGUCUUUACUCUCAGGCUGAUUUUGCCUCAGUUUCACCAAAGGUCCAGCAGUGCAGUCUGCAUCAGCAGUGGCAGAAUGCUCCAAAUAAAUACAGCUGAAGCUGCCUUACAGACAACAGGAAAAGAUCUGUAUUCUCUUGAAACCACGGGAUUGUUUUCAUUGAGUUCAUGCAAUGGACUCCUGGACAUAAUUAAACAACAUGUGGAAUUCAUAAGCUCACAAAGCUCCCUUCACAAAGCCAUUGCCCUAAAAUGUAUAGUUUUAAACCUCUUUAAUGAAAUCCUCAGAGCAACAAGUAACUCCUUCUCCCUACAAGUGGAUUAUUACAGUCUUCACAGCCUUGUGGAAGUUUUAAUUGAA